rnacentral:rRNA from 1 species
AAACCGACACAGGUGGUCAGGUAGAGAAUACUCAGGCGCUUGAGAGAACUCGGGUGAAGGAACUAGGCAAAAUAGCACCGUAACUUCGGGAGAAGGUGCGCCGGCGUAGAUUGUAGUCCCUUGCGGGCGAAGGUUGAACCGGUCGAAGAUACCAGCUGGCUGCAACUGUUUAUUAAAAACACAGCACUCUGCAAACACGAAAGUGGACGUAUAGGGUGUGAUGCCUGCCCGGUGCUGGAAGGUUAAUUGAUGGUGUAAUCGAAAGAGAAGCUCCUGAUCGAAGCCCCAGUAAACGGCGGCCGUAACUAUAACGGUCCUAAGGUAGCGAAAUUCCUUGUCGGGUAAGUUCCGACCUGCACGAAUGGCAUAAUGAUGGCCAGGCUGUCUCCACCCGAGACUCAGUGAAAUUGAAAUCGCCGUGAAGAUGCGGUGUACCCGCGGCUAGACGGAAAGACCCCGUGAACCUUUACUAUAGCUUGACACUGAACAUUGAAUUUUGAUGUGUAGGAUAGGUGGGAGACUUAGAUUACGAAACGUGGUCUCGGACAGUGUCUGGUGGGUAGUUUGACUGGGGCGGUCUCCUCCCAAAGAGUAACGGAGGAGCACGAAGGUUUGCUAAUGACGGUCGGACAUCGUCAGGUUAGUGCAAUGGUAUAAGCAAGCUUAACUGCGAGACAGACAAGUCGAGCAGGUACGAAAGUAGGUCAUAGUGAUCCGGUGGUUCUGAAUGGAAGGGCCAUCGCUCAACGGAUAAAAGGUACUCCGGGGAUAACAGGCUGAUACCGCCCAAGAGUUCAUAUCGACGGCGGUGUUUGGCACCUCGAUGUCGGCUCAUCACAUCCUGGGGCUGAAGUAGGUCCCAAGGGUAUGGCUGUUCGCCAUUUAAAGUGGUACGCGAGCUGGGUUUAGAACGUCGUGAGACAGUUCGGUCCCUAUCUGCCGUGGGCGUUGGAGAAUUGAGUCUAUAAGACUGUAAGGGUUGUUGGAGACUACGACGUAGAUAGGUGUGGUGUGUAAGCGGUGCGAGCCGUUGAGCUAACACAUACUAAUUGCCCGAGAGGCUUAACUAUACAACGCUCAAGUGUUUUUAAGCGAAGUGAAAAACUAAACAAAAACGAAAUCAAACCAAAAGACAAAACUUCAGAAGCUUGUUUCGAAUUAAAGAAGAGAAGAACAAAGAAAAGAGAAAUACAGAAUAUCAUCAACAGAAUAUUCU